AGAACUGAUAAUUAGAAAUAGUGGAAUGAAGGCGUAACGUCCUGAAACGCUAACCCUGAUACUCCGAAUGGCGUUAUAUGAUUUAGCAUAUAAGGGUCAUAAGCUCGGUGAAGUCAGUUGAGAAUACACCCUAACAAGUUAAGUUGAGGAACAGUGAACCAGAGGUGGUCAAGUGUAUGAUAGACUGGGGGUCUAAAAA
rnacentral:ncRNA from 1 species